rnacentral:rRNA from 1 species
GAUGAACGCUGGCGGCGUGCCUAAUACAUGCAAGUCGAGCGAACGGACGAGAAGCUUGCUUCUCUGAUGUUAGCGGCGGACGGGUGAGUAACACGUGGAUAACCUACCUAUAAGACUGGGAUAACUUCGGGAAACCGUAGCUAAUACCGGAUAAUAUUUUGAACCGCAUGGUUCAAAUGUGAAAGACGGUCUUGCUGUCACUUAUAGAUGGAUCCGCGCUGCAUUAGCUAGUUGGUAAGGUAACGGCUUACCAAGGCAACGAUGCAUAGCCGACCUGAGAGGGUGAUCGGCCACACUGGAACUGAGACACGGUCCAGACUCCUACGGGAGGCAGCAGUAGGGAAUCUUCCGCAAUGGGCGAAAGCCUGACGGAGCGACGCCGCGUGAGUGAUGAAGGUCUUCGGAUCGUAAAACUCUGUUAUUAGGGAAGAACAUAUGUGUAAGUAACUGUGCACAUCUUGACGGUACCUAAUCAGAAAGCCACGGCUAACUACGUG